AACACACCCUUAGUCUUUGUUUUUCUUCUGUAUAGUUGUUAGUCUGUUGAGUAUCCAUAAUUGUUUUUCUAAGUAGCAUUUUCUGUUAAUAUGGUGCUAAUGUUGGAGUUUUAUGAGUUUUGAAGACAUUGCUUAAGGUAAAUACAGUCACAUUUAGUCUUUUCUAAGGCUUUUCCUUUGGUAUUUCUAUACUGAUUUGUUUGGUUAGUAAUAUGUGAGAAAUCUGUGUUCUUAAAUAUAUCCAUAAAUUUGUAAAAAAACUUUUCUAUGGUUGUUGUUGCUUCAAUUUCUUCAGCAUCUAACUAUCCUUUUAAACUUCAUGAAAGAUUUGCUGAGGCUGAAAUCAUCAACGCAUGAGUUUGGGUUUGUCUGCUGAUGCAAAGCCAAGGCUGAAAUGGAGCCCUUAAUUUAAAGCUAUCUUCCAAAAUUUACAUGUAAUAGAUUCAUUUGUGGUCAAUGGAUUCCAAUCAAUUUGUUGCAGUCGAGGAUGAUGGCACCUUUAGCUGUCCUGUUUCAGGCUUUAGGUAAUGUGCAUGGAGCUAAAGUUCAUGCAAAUGAGCCAGUUCAUCAUGGUGUUAUAGAGAAAUUCUCAUGGGAAUUUGAAGAAAGUGGUGACCCAGAGACAUACUUUCAGGCUCUUCUUUCAUUGACCAAAGAGGGAAUUGAGAAAGGAAAGGUCUGUAUCGAUCUCAUUUCAAAAAGAGAAUUUAAGUCAAUCAAUCAUCCACCAUUACUUGAACAAAGCAAAACUGAAGUUCUCUUUUUUUGAAAAAAAAAAAAAAAAAAAAGAGAACCCCUAAGAAGAACUAAUCAGCAAUAGAAAUGCAUGAAAAUGGUAGUUCAACUUCAAACCAAAUCGAACGGAAUGGACUUAAUAAAGGUUUUCUUUCUCCUUAACUAACUAACAAAUAUUACGUUUCUUAAAAAAUAUACAGAAGAACAAUAUCUGGUACAAGUAAAGUUUUACAUAGAUCAGUGGCAUCUUAUGAUUUAGCUUGUUGUAGUGCUUUGAUUAACAUAAAACAAGAUUUAAAAUGUGAUUUUAAAGUUCCAUGUUCAAAAAUCACCUCUAAGGAAGAUUUAAAAGUUCGGCUGGAGAGAUGUCAAUGACUUCAAGAUUUUGUUGGACAAUGGCCAAAUUAAGGAGGCCACUGCUACAUACAAUCUGGGCUGUCUCCAAAUUGUUGUAUUUACACCAUCUUAAUGGAAUACCUUAUUGGAGAGGGUAAAUGCAAAGAAGGCCUUCAUAUUUUUUUUCCAAAAUGCAAGAUGCUGGAGUAUAUUCUGAUAAAGCAGCAUGCAAUAUAUUGAUUCAGAAAUGCUGUAAAUUAGGGGAGAGGUUAGUAAUGACACAAAUCAUGGAGUUCAUGAAAGAGAACCGCGUGCUUUGUGCUUCGAUGCCCCGUGUUUGUUGAAGGACAUGAAACUUUGAAAAGUUGUUAGAGAGCUAUCACUAAACGAAUGACUGGAAUAGAAGAAAUGAUUGCAAUUGAGUACAAUUUGUCAGGGUUCAUCUUUGUGACAAGAUCUUGAAGUUGGUUAUUUAUGAAGUGUCCUCGCAUAUUGGUUUCAGUUUUUGUUAUUACCUUCUCGCUGUUUUUUGUUAAUUUAUUGCAAAAGACUUCUCACUUUCUUUGUGUGUUGACUCAACUUGCUUAUGUAAAACGUAUUAAGAUUUCAUUUUUAACUAUUUGGUUGUCAUAAAA